rnacentral:rRNA from 1 species
CCUACGGGAGGCAGCAGUGAGGAAUAUUGGUCAAUGGACGAGAGUCUGAACCAGCCAAGUAGCGUGAUGGAUGACUGCCCUAUGGGUUGUAAACUUCUUUUAUAUGGGAAUAAAAUGUUCCACGUGUGGGAUUUUGUAUGUACCAUAUGAAUAAGGAUCGGCUAACUCCGUGCCAGCAGCCGCGGUAAUACGGAGGAUCCGAGCGUUAUCCGGAUUUAUUGGGUUUAAAGGGAGCGUAGGUGGAUUGUUAAGUCAGUUGUGAAAGUUUGCGGCUCAACCGUAAAAUUGCAGUUGAAACUGGCAGUCUUGAGUACAGUAGAGGUGGGCGGAAUUCGUGGUGUAGCGGUGAAAUGCUUAGAUAUCACGAAGAACUCCGAUUGCGAAGGCAGUUCACUGGACUACAACUGACACUGAGGCUCGAAAGUGUGGGUAUCAAACAGGAUUAGAUACCCGGGUAGUC